UAGGGAAUCUUCGGCAAUGGGGGGAACCCUGACCGAGCAACGCCGCGUGAGUGAAGAAGGUUUUCGGAUCGUAAAGCUCUGUUGUUAAGGAAGAACGAGUGUGAGAAUGGAAAGUUCAUGCUGUGACGGUACUUAACCAGAAAGGGACGGCUAACUACGUGCCAGCAGCCGCGGUAAUACGUAGGUCCCGAGCGUUGUCCGGAUUUAUUGGGCGUAAAGCGAGCGCAGGCGGUUAGAAAAGUCUGAAGUGAAAGGCAGUGGCUCAACCAUUGUAGGCUUGAGAAACUGUUUAACUUGAGUGCAGAAGAGGAGAGUGGAAUUCCAUGUGUAGCGGUGAAAUGAGUAGAUAGAUGGAGGAACACCGGUAGCGAGAGCGGCUCUCUGGUAUGUAACUGACGCUGAGGCUCGAAAGCGUGGGGAGCGAACAGG
rnacentral:rRNA from 1 species